UAUGCAUUAUAAUAUUUAUACAUAUGAAAUAUAAAUAUAUAUAUUAUUAGUGUAUUGAAUGAGAAAAUGCCAUAUGGCACUACAAAAAAAAUGCCAUUUAGUGGCACACACUUUUAGUGGCAUUUAACUUUUAUGUCAUUAUUUUAGGUUUUUAAUGGCACUUUAUGUAUAUCAUAUUUGAUUGACACAAUCUUUUAGUGGCAUUUAGUUUUAAUGCCACUAAUUUAGGUUUUAGUGGCACUUUUCAUGUGACAUCUUUAUUCUUUACACAAUUUUAAUGACAUUUAGGUUAUAUAUGCCACUAAUUCACAAUUUCACUUUCACUUUAACAUUUCACUCCUUGUGUCACUAAUCUAGGUCAUCGAAACUCAAAAAUUUCUCCAUUUUUACCUCCAAACUUUUCCUAAAAUUUGCAUUAAAGUUUCUGUUUUUCCCUCCAUCAAAAUUCCUCUCUAAAAUUUACAUUAUUAUUUAUUUUUCCCCUCCAACAAAAUUUCUCUCAGAAAAAAAGAAGUUUCCCUCUCACUUGCCAGUUUUCCUCUCCCCCUCGUCUCUCUCAUUCGUUGUGGUGUCCAAGUUUGCUUUCAAUCGUUCUUUAAAACUACAGGUGGUUCGCUUGUGUUUUUUCUAGUUCCUACUCUUGAGGUACGAUAUGUACACUAUUGGGUUUCUUAUCUCAUAACAACGCCCUAACCCUAGUUCCCGUUUGGUGUUUCUCUUCAAAAAUUAUCAUCAGUAGGUGGUGCGCUAUAGAUUGUUCCACGAAUCCACUUUCUAUUUGAGGUACGACAUGUUAAAUUUUGAGUUUCGUAUCUUAUAAUACUCUGUUUAAUUUUUCAAAAUCACGUUGCCCUGAUUUGUUCAUCGGUUUAUCUUUGCUAAUAUCAUCAGGAACAAAGUGUGAAAUUGCUAUCCAUUGCUGAAUAAUACUAAAAAUAUAUUUUUGUGCUAGGGAUUAUAUUACACCUGAUCAAGGGUUAUUAUAUUUGCGCAGACCAAAUUUUAUAAGCAUUUCCUUUGAUCUUUACUGAUGAAUUUGAGUCCCAUGACUUUCCGCCCGUCGGAACUUUUGGUCAAGCUCCGCCACUAACUGUCUAUGUACAUAAACAAUGGCAUUUGGGUCCAGGAAUUCUACAAAUGUUUUCUUGUUUUUUUUCAUAGACUUUUGAGUCAUUUGAUCACAUUUCACAGCAAACAACAGUUGUUGCCUUUGUUCCAUUCUCUGGCUCCUCCACUGCACCGCUAUGUGUGAAAGCAAUGCCAUCACACUGCGACCUGCAGUUGUCGCACGUCAGCCUACCUUUGUUGGUCGUCUCCUGAUUUCUGAGUGAUCCACUUGAAUUUGUAAGUUGUAUUUUUAUUUUCCUUUUUUCCUAAAACUUGGUAUUUUCAGUUGAAACUUGGGCAUGUUGUAAAUUGUAAGUAGCCUCUUUACCCACCCUUUGAGACUUUACUUGUAUAACUAAUUAGUUUUGCUUAAAUGAGACUAUAUUUUCUGUAACGAGUUAUUUCUUUCUUACAAAGUCAAUUCAAAUAAACAAUUUUGACAUUUUUUUGUGAUAUUUGGUGUGGAAAUAUGGUGCCAACAUCUAAGUUCAGUUGCUUGUCUAGUGAAGAGGACCUUGUAUUACAGCUAGGGGUGUAAACGAGCCGAGCUACUCGAGAUUGGCUAGUAAAAAGCUCGAAACAAGCCGGGCUUAAUUCAACCCAUUUAGUUUUCCAGGUAGAAGAAGCUCAGCAGAAAUGGCGUGUGGCGUUUACUAAAACGAAAAACAAGCUGAAAAUUGCAUUUUCUAAACAGUAAAAGAGGCGAACAUAGAAGAAAUCAGGUAACAGGCAUGAUGCACUGAUGCAGACUGUUAUAACUUUUCUUAUUCCGAUGCACUGAUGAAGGCAUGAUAAGCAAUCCAGCUUAACAAAGGAAACACGGGCGCAGUGGUGGUGAUGUCUAUGGAGCUUACGGUAGUUGUUCUUCUGGAUGCAGUGGUAGUGCUGGACAUUUGCAUAAUUUAUUGUCGCCAGGGGUUCAAGGCACAUCCCUGCUUCUAGAAGGCAGGGUUAUAAUUACUGAAGAUGAAGCCUGAAGCCAGCCUAAACAACCAGAAGACCUGUUGAACCGAACCGGUUAUGGCCCACCUUAAGAGGACAACUGAACCAGAAGACCAUGUCCCGACACUAUUUUACCAAGGUUUCGUUUCUUCAUUUCCAUAAAACCUUUGCCUUGAUCAUAUUCCAAACCUUUGACACUUUGUAUUGUUCUCUUUUUUAUUGCAUUGUGUGAAGAUUUUCUGGUCCUUUUGACCCCAUAAGAGGCGCUUUCAAAGACUAAUAUUACUUUUAACUUGUCCAUGCAAUCCCUUGAGGAGCUCCUACAUAAAGAACCCCUGAGGCGUCUCAGACUCGUUUAUUGGGCGUUUCGCCUUGAGGCGCACACCUUAAUCGUUUUUUAAACCAUGGUGAAAGCAUAAACAUUCUCAUCAUGAACUCUCUUUUUGUUAGGUGAAGGAAAUUCAGCUUACUAGAGGCAUUGAAAAAACCACCUAAUGCUUGGUGAAGGGCUUAAAAUGUUGUGAAAAGAAGUUAUAUACAACCGUUGGUACUGGCUAGAAGAAACCUUUGGAAACCUGAGUACGAAACUGGAUAUUCAACUCUGGUUUUGUUGCAGGUUUGAUGACGUUGUUUCGUCGACGAUUUUAUGGCGGCAACGCGAUCUGCAGAUAUGUUUUGGCCUUGUAUUAACACGAUUUGCAGAUCUAUUUUUGAAACCCAAGUCUUGAAUACUAGUAGGUCCUAAAGUUAUGAAAUUUUUGUAAUUAACAACAGCCACGUUAAAGUGCUUAAUAAGAUUCUUGUUUAAUGCAGUAGAUAUAGGUUUAGGGUUAAUGCUUAUUGGAUUAUAGAAAGGAAAUGUUUGGUCAA